UACGUAGGGUGCGAGCGUUGUCCGGAAUUAUUGGGCGUAAAGAGCUCGUAGGCGGUGUGUCGCGUCGGUCGUGAAAACUUGGGGCUUAACUCUGAGCUUGCGGUCGAUACGGGCAUCACUGGAGUUCGGCAGGGGAGACUGGAAUUCCUGGUGUAGCGGUGAAAUGCGCAGAUAUCAGGAGGAACACCGGUGGCGAAGGCGGGUCUCUGGGCCGAUACUGACGC
rnacentral:rRNA from 1 species